rnacentral:piRNA from 1 species
CAUUUUGUAGAAUAAAAUGAAUUAAGAUC